rfam:Triticum aestivum genome assembly, contig: Triticum_aestivum_CS42_TGACv1_scaffold_433201_5DL
GAAAUACUCCCUCCGUCCGAAAAUUCUUGUCUUAGAUUUGUCUAAAUACGGAUGUAUCAAGUCACGUUUCGGUAUUAGAUACAUCCGUAUCUAGACUAAUCUAAGACAAGAAUUUUGGGGCGGAGGGAGUAUAAG